rnacentral:rRNA from 1 species
AUGGCGGGAGCGGCCGGGAGGGAGAGGGACCCGCUCCUCCGCUCCGAGAUCCACGGCUUCAUCACCUACGCAGACUUGAAUUUCGAGAAGCUGAAAGCAGAGGCCGCGUCGCGCUGGUUCCGGCCGAAUGAGAUCUACGCGGUCCUGGCCAACCACGAGAGGUUCAAGGUCCAUGCACAGCCCAUCGACAAGCCCGUGAGUGGUACUAUUGUUCUAUAUGAUCGCAAAGUUGUCCGGAACUUCCGGAAGGAUGGCCAUAAUUGGAAGAAAAAGAAGGAUGGCAAAACUGUCCAAGAAGCCCAUGAAAAAUUAAAGAUUGGUAAUGAAGAGAGGGUUCAUGUCUAUUAUGCUCGAGGUGAGGAUAAUCCAAAUUUCUUUAGAAGGUGCUACUGGCUGCUUGACAAAGAGGCUGAACGGAUUGUUCUUGUGCAUUAUCGUCAAACAUCUGAGGAAAAUGCCAUAGCACAUCCGAGCACAGAAGCCGAAGCCGAAGCGCCUACAAUGAAUGUGAUUCAAUAUUAUACUUCUCCGAUUUCAGCAAAUUCAGCCUCAGUUCAUACCGAGAUAUCGUUCUCCCCUCCGGCACCAGAGGAAAUUAACUCACAUGGUGGCAGUGCAAUUUCUAGUGAUACUGGUGGCUCUAGUCUGGAAGAGUUCUGGGUUCAUCUAUUGGAGUCAUCUAUGACAAAGGAUACUGCUUGUGGCGCAUCCGUGGCAUUUAGUCAGCAGAUUAAAUGCGGAACAAAGGAUUCUGGAAAUGACACGGACUCUACAAAUAAUGUACAUGUGAACCACGCCGGAGCUCUGGAACAUCAAGUAGACCAAUCUCAAUACCCUUUAACAUCAGAUCUCGAUUCUCAGUCACAUCAAUUUGCAACUUCUUUGCGGAAAACUCCAGUGGAUGGUGACAUUCCUAAUGAUGUGCCUGCUAGAGAGAACAGUCUUGGACUGUGGAAGUACUUGGAUGAUGACAGUCCUUGUCUAGGGGAUAAUAUAGUGAGCAAUGGAAAAAUCUUCAACAUCACUGAUUUCUCCCCAGAAUGGGCUUGUUCCACAGAGCAUACCAAGAUCUUGGUGAUCGGGGAUUACUAUGAGCAAUACAAGCAUCUGGCUGGUUCCAAUAUUUACGGUAUCUUUGGUGAUAACUGUGUUGCCGCAAACAUGGUCCAAACUGGUGUUUACCGUUUCAUGGUUGGACCACAUACAGCUGGACGAGUGGAUUUUUAUUUGACUUUGGAUGGGAAAACACCAAUCUCUGAGGUUUUGAAUUUUGAGUAUCGUAGUGUGCCUGGAAGUUCAUUGCAUAGUGAGUUAAAGCCGCUGGAAGAUGAGUACACAAAGUCAAAGCUUCAAAUGCAGAUGAGACUAGCUCGUUUGCUGUUUGUGACAAACAAGAAAAAGAUAGCACCAAAGCUUCUUGUGGAAGGCAGCAAAGUUUCUAAUCUCAUAUUGGCAUCACCAGAGAAGGAAUGGAUGGAUCUAUGGAAAAUUGCUGGCGAUUCUGAAGGCACAUCUGUUCAUGCUACUGAAGACUUGCUUGAAUUAGUUUUACGGAAUAGAUUGCAAGAAUGGCUUCUCGAAAGAGUAAUUGGAGGCCAUAAAUCAACCGGCCGUGAUGAUCUAGGACAAGGACCUAUCCAUCUGUGUUCUUUCCUAGGCUAUACUUGGGCUAUCCGCUUGUUUUCUGUGUCCGGAUUCUCCUUGGAUUUCCGUGAUUCUUCUGGUUGGACUGCUUUACACUGGGCUGCAUACCACGGAAGGGAAAAAAUGGUUGCUGCUCUGUUAUCUGCUGGAGCAAAUCCAAGCUUGGUUACGGAUCCUACUGCAGUGUCCCCUGGUGGAUGCACUCCUGCUGAUCUGGCAGCAAGACAAGGUUAUGUGGGCUUAGCUGCAUAUCUUGCUGAGAAAGGAUUGACUGCACAUUUUGAAUCAAUGUCACUGUCCAAGGGUACUAAGCAAUCACCAUCAAGGACGAAACUAACAAAAGUACACAGCGAGAAGUUUGAGAACCUUACUGAACAAGAACUUUGCUUAAAAGAAUCCUUAGCGGCCUAUCGAAAUGCUGCUGACGCUGCCAGUAAUAUCCAAGCUGCACUUCGCGAUAGAACUCUUAAACUCCAAACAAAAGCAAUUCUUUUGGCCAAUCCUGAGAUGCAAGCAACUGCGAUAGUUGCUGCUAUGAGGAUUCAGCAUGCAUUCCGGAACUACAACAGAAAAAAAGAGAUGAGAGCUGCUGCACGAAUACAAAAUCAUUUCCGCACGUGGAAGGUCAGAAGGAACUUUAAGAACAUGCGAAGACAAGCUAUCAGAAUACAAGCUGCAUACCGAGGCCAUCAAGUGAGACGUCAGUACCGCAAGGUAAUAUGGUCUGUUGGAGUCGUGGAGAAAGCUAUUUUGCGAUGGAGAAAGAAGAGAAAAGGCUUGCGCGGCAUUGCAAAUGGAAUGCCAGCAGAAAUGACAGUGGAUGUAGAAGCUGCAAGCACUGCAGAAGAAGGUUUCUUCCAGGCCAGCCGGCAACAAGCGGAGGACAGGUUUAAUAGAUCAGUGGUACGUGUUCAGGCUCUGUUUCGUUGUCAUCGGGCACAGCAUGAGUACCGGAGGAUGAGGAUUGCUCAUGAGGAGGCCAAGCUGGAGUUCAGUAAAGGGCAGCAGCAGGCGCCGGCAUGCAGGAGGACCAUCUUAUUGAUCCUUUUGGCCGAAUCUGGUGUAUGUAUUUGCUGCUAG